rnacentral:rRNA from 1 species
GUAGGGAAUAUUGCUUAAUGGGCGAAAGCCUGAAGCAGCAACGCCGCGUGUGCGAUGAAGGCCUUCGGGUUGUAAAGCACUUUUUGAGGGGAUGAGGAAGGACAGUACCCUCAGAAUAAGUCUCGGCUAACUGCGUGCCAGCAGCCGCGGUAAAACGUAGGAGGCGAGCGUUAUCCGGAUUUACUGGGCGUAAAGCGCGUGCAGGCGGCUCGAAAAGUUGGAUGUGAAAGCUCCUGGCUUAACUGGGAGAGGUCGUUCAAUACUUUCGGGCUUGAGGAUGGGAGAGGGAGGUGGAAUUCCGGGUGUAGUGGUGAAAUGCGUAGAUAUCCGGAGGAACACCAGUGGCGAAGGCGGCCUCCUGGCCCAUUUCUGACGCUCAGACGCGAAAGCUAGGGUAGCAAACGGGAUUAGAAACCCGAGUAGUCC